AGCCUGGGCUGGCAAGUUAGGUGGAUGGUGGUCACCGGUAAAAAUCGAGUUCUUUGAUGACUCCUGUACCAGCUCAGAAGCAAGGGCCUUAGAAGCUGCACUACGUUGGGACAGAUCAGCACCUUGUUGGCCACACUGAAACACCAUGGUCUUGGAUUAUGUCUACACUCUGAUGCAAAUAAUGAUCACCUGUGGGGACUGUAGCACACCAAUCGAUUGUUCAUUGAUGUGGAAACCAGGUGCCCGUCUCCUGUCUUCCCAGGCACAAACUCAUGCAACUGUCACAGUUCUGCAGGCCAGUUGCUCUUAUUGUGGGGAACUCCAC
rnacentral:lncRNA from 1 species